UGAGGAAUAUUGGUCAAUGGGCGAGAGCCUGAACCAGCCAAGUAGCGUGCAGGACGACGGCCCUAUGGGUUGUAAACUGCUUUUAUGUGGGGAUAAAGUGCGUGACGUGUCAUGCAUUGCAGGUACCACAUGAAUAAGGACCGGCUAAUUCCGUGCCAGCAGCCGCGGUAAUACGGAAGGUCCGGGCGUUAUCCGGAUUUAUUGGGUUUAAAGGGAGUGUAGGCGGCCUGUUAAGCGUGUUGUGAAAUGUAGAUGCUCAACAUCUGAACUGCAGCGCGAACUGGCUGGCUUGAGUACACGCAACGUGGGCGGAAUUCAUGGUGUAGCGGUGAAAUGCUUAGAUAUCAUGAGGAACUCCUAUUGCGAAGGCAGCUCACGGGAGUGUCACUGACGCUUAAGCUCGAAGGUGCGGGUAUCGAACAGG
rnacentral:rRNA from 1 species